rnacentral:rRNA from 1 species
AGCAGCCGCGGUAAUUCCAGCUCCAAUAGCGUAUAUUAAAGUUGUUGCAGUUAAAAAGCUCGUAGUUGAAUUUCGGGGUUAGUAGGUUGGUCGUGCCACUGGUACGUACUGGUCUCACUGACUCCUCCUUCCUGAUGAACUGUAAUGCCAUUAAUUUGGUGUUGCGGGGAAACUGGACUGUUACUUUGAAAAAUUGAGUGUUUAAAGCAAGCUAACGCCUGAAUACAUUAGCAUGGAAUAAUGAAAUAGGACGUUCGAUCCUAUUUUGUUGGUUUCUAGGAUCGACGUAAUGAUUAAUAGGGAUAGUUGGGGGCAUUAGUAUUCAAUUGUCAGAGGUGAAAUUCUUGGAUUUAUUGAAGACUAACUACUGCGAAAGCAUUUUUGCCAAGGAUGUUUUCAUUAAUCAAGAACGAAAGUUAGGGGAUCGAAGACGAUCAGAUACCGUCGUAGUCUUAACC